CCUGGUCUGAGGGAAGAAUCGGGGUUAUGUAGUGAAUGAAGAAGGGUACUGCAAAAAGAAAAAAUGGUCUCAUGGUUCAGGCAGUUGAAUGCUGCCCUGGAGAACUGGAUUCUAUCUCUGCCGCUGCAACAGAGUUUCUAUGGGAUGCUGAGUCAAAGAAAUGAGUCAUCCUCUCAUCCUACGGAUUCCUCAAGAACAGAGUUAAAAACAUUGGCGAGGCAAAGAAAUGUACAUGAUGUAUCAACCCCGCACAGGGCCAACAGGGACUGAACAAGCAUUGUGGGCCCAGGAGAUCACGCCCCUCACUUCUGCUGCGUAUGGUCCAGGUAGAGGGGACAGAUAAAAGGAGGCAGCUCAGCUCAGUCAGUGUUGGUGGAAGAAGAGGAAGGAUGUGUGCUGCAGGCACCUGCAGAGGAACCAUUGACUCUCCAUGGGUCUGGGCUAUGCUGUGGAUGACCAGCUGACUGCAGAGACACCGAGGUGCUGCCAGCUGAGGAGAUAAAUGUACCAGUCUUUAAGGAAGAGGAGAAGUUUAACAAAAAACAUGAAUUAUCUGAAUCUUCAGCAGAGGAUAAUACCCUAUUUAGAUGUUCAAGAGCACAAAUUAUAGUUCAUAAAAGUUAUACACCCAUGCCAGUGGGGUACUCGUUGAUAUUCCUGGGAGAAAUGAUCAUCUAAGUGCAUAAAUUCAUUCUGUCUUACCCAGAACAGCUGAUCAACAUCAUCUCCAAUGCUUCUGCAGAAAAUUCAGAACAUCCAGAGAGAUUUAAUCGCACCAAACUAGAAUUCUGAGCGAUGCUUCUGUAAAGACCACAGAUGGAGAGUCAGAAUGCUUUCACAUCUCUCCAGAAAGUAUAAGAAAAGGACCCAGCACCUCAGUUAGAGCCAGACCAGGGAAGGAGCAAGACGUCUGUCCCAGGGAGCCAAACAGCUAGCAGAGCCCACAACUGGCUGUGGCAAGUGAUGAACCUCCAGAGCCAGCUUGGAGGGAAGGCAAACUGCUACCCCGGAAGACGGAGAAACCCAACUAGGGAGUGGAAAGUGGACUGUCUGACAAGGAGAGGGGGAACCAAGCCCCGGUGGCCAUGGAGCAGCUCCACCAGAUGCUGGUAGGAAAUAGCCCAAGGAAAAGAGACAUGGACCCCCACGUUCUCCUGGCAACCCCACAAUGGAAUCACCUGUCAUUUCUAGUGCCCUGGGCUGGGACCUGGUGGAGCAGGGUGGGUCCGGGUUCCCCUGUCCCCAAUCCCCUGCUUUGGGCUGGAUGAAUGCUAACCCUUAGGUCAGAAGGCCAGAGCCACUGACUGUUGACUUGCUCGGCUCUCAUUCAGGAGGCCUAAGCGGCUACUUGCUCAGCCGCAAGCUAGAAUGCCUGAUAGACUAACCAGGCAUGAGCGCUGAUUCCCUGAUGCCACCAGAGGGGGUGCCCACUCACCUAAUGAUAUCAUCUGAAAGCACUAGUCCUUCCAAGCUGAGGUUCUGUAGUUGAUCACAACGACAAAGAAUAGUAUGGAGAUCUGCAACAUUUAUUGUGCAGUUGGACAUGUCCAUACGUUGCACUCUAAGAGGUCUAAAGAGGGGAAAGGAGAAAGGCAGACAAUACAAAAUGGAUUUUAAACACUUUUCUAAAAUUGAGGUAGUAUGCUGCAUUUGUAUACCACAAAUAAAUGCGUAACUAGCAGAAAAUGUAUAUGCUUUAAUGCAUGUCUGAUCCAUCAAUAUU